rnacentral:tRNA from 1 species
UCUUUGAUAGCUUAAGUUCUAAAGCUUUAGGCUUUUAACCUAAAUAUACAGUGAUUGUUCAAAGGG